rnacentral:rRNA from 1 species
GUGAUCUGCCUUGCACUUCGGGAUAAGCCUGGGAAACUGGGUCUAAUACCGGAUAUGACCUUGAAAUGCAUGUUUUGGGGUGGAAAGAUUUAUCGGUGCGAGAUGGGCCCGCGGCCUAUCAGCUUGUUGGUGAGGUAACGGCUCACCAAGGCGACGACGGGUAGCCGACCUGAGAGGGUGACCGGCCACACUGGGACUGAGACACGGCCCAGACUCCUACGGGAGGCAGCAGUGGGGAAUAUUGCACAAUGGGCGCAAGCCUGAUGCAGCGACGCCGCGUGCGGGAUGACGGCCUUCGGGUUGUAAACCGCUUUUGACAGGGACGAAGCGCAAGUGACUGUACCUGUAGAAUAAGGACCGGCCAACUACGUGCCAGCAGCCGCGGUAAUACGUAGGGUCCGAGCGUUGUCCGGAAUUACUGGGCGUAAAGAGCUUGUAGGCGGUUCGUCGCGUCGUUUGUGAAAACUUGGGGCUCAACCUUAAGCUUGCAGGCGAUACGGGCGGACUAGAGUACUUCAGGGGAGACUGGAAUUCCUGGUGUAGCGGUGAAAUGCGCAGAUAUCAGGAGGAACACCGGUGGCGAAGGCGGGUCUCUGGGAAGUAACUGACGCUGAGAAGCGAAAGCAUGGGUAGCAAACAGGAUUAGAUACCCUGGUAGUCCAUGCCGUAAACGGUGGGUACUAGGUGUGGGGCUCCUUCCACGGACUCCGUGCCGUAGCUAACGCAUUAAGUACCCCGCCUGGGGAGUACGGCCGCAAGGCUAAAACUCAAAGAAAUUGACGGGGGCCCGCACAAGCGGCGGAGCAUGUGGAUUAAUUCGAUGCAACGCGAAGAACCUUACCUGGGUUUGACAUACACCGGAAACCUGCAGAGAUGUAGGCCCCCUUGUGGUCGGUGUACAGGUGGUGCAUGGCUGUCGUCAGCUCGUGUCGUGAGAUGUUGGGUUAAGUCCCGCAACGAGCGCAACCCUUAUCUUAUGUUGCCAGCGCGUAAUGGCGGGGACUCGUGAGAGACUGCCGGGGUCAACUCGGAGGAAGGUGGGGACGACGUCAAGUCAUCAUGCCCCUUAUGUCCAGGGCUUCACACAUGCUACAAUGGCCGGUACAGAGGGCUGCGAUACCGCGAGGUGGAGCGAAUCCCUUAAAGCCGGUCUCAGUUCGGAUCGGGGUUGCAACUCGACCCC